GACGAACGCUGGCGGCGUGCUUAACACAUGCAAGUCGAACGGAAAGGCCCUGCUUUUGUGGGGUGCUCGAGUGGCGAACGGGUGAGUAACACGUGAGUAACCUGCCCUUGACUUUGGGAUAACUUCAGGAAACUGGGGCUAAUACCGGAUAGGAGCUCCUGCUGCAUGUUGGGGGUUGGAAAGUUUCGGCGGUUGGGGAUGGACUCGCGGCUUAUCGGCUUGUUGGUGGGGUAGUGGCUUACCAAGGCUUUGACGGGUAGCCGGCCUGAGAGGGUGACCGGCCACAUUGGGACUGAGAUACGGCCCAGACUCCUACGGGAGGCAGCAGUGGGGAAUAUUGCACAAUGGGCGGAAGCCUGAUGCAGCAACGCCGCGUGCGGGAUGACGGCCUUCGGGUUGUAAACCGCUUUCGCCUGUGACGAAGAGUGAGUGACGGUAAUGGGUAAAGAAGCACCGGCUAACUACGUG
rnacentral:rRNA from 1 species